GACGUAGGGCGCGAGCGUUGUCCGGAAUUAUUGGGCGUAAAGCGCACGUAGGCGGUUUGUUAAGUCGGAUGUGAAAUCCCUCGGCUCAACUGAGGAAGUGCAUCCGAAACUGGCAGGCUUGAGUACUAAAGAGGGUCGCGGAAUUCCCGGUGUAGAGGUGAAAUUCGUAGAUAUCGGGAGGAACACCGGUGGCGAAGGCGGCGACCUGGGUAGAUACGUGACGCUGAGGUGCGAAAGCGUGGGGAGCAAAGCAGGGA
rnacentral:rRNA from 1 species